rnacentral:rRNA from 1 species
UACGAAGGGUGCAAGCGUUACUCGGAAUUACUGGGCGUAAAGAGUGCGUAGGUGGUUUGUUAAGUCUGCUGUGAAAUCCCCGGGCUCAACCUGGGAAUGGCAGUGGAUACUGGCAAGCUGGAGUGCGGUAGAGGGUAGUGGAAUUCCCGGUGUAGCAGUGAAAUGCGUAGAGAUCGGGAGGAACACCAGUGGCGAAGGCGGCUACCUGGACCAGCACUGACACUGAGGCACGAAAGCGUGGGGAGCAAACAGG